UUUUAUUGGAGAGUUUGAUCCUGGCUCAGGACGAACGCUGGCGGCGUGCCUAAUACAUGCAAGUCGAGCGGACCAAAGGGAGCUUGCUCCCUGAGGUUAGCGGCGGACGGGUGAGUAACACGUGGGCAACCUGCCCUGCAGACCGGGAUAACUUCGGGAAACCGGAGCUAAUACCGGAUAACACCGAAAACCGCAUGGUUUUCGGUUGAAAGGCGGCUUUGGCUGUCACUGCAGGAUGGGCCCGCGGCGCAUUAGCUAGUUGGUGAGGUAACGGCUCACCAAGGCGACGAUGC
rnacentral:rRNA from 1 species